CACAAGCCAGUUUGCUCUAGACUGGCUUCACCCAGAAUGAUACUGGGAAGAUGGGUGCCUUUGUUUCCAUUCCAAAGUCAAAGAAAAUGAAGCAAGAGAUGCUAGGUGAUGGACUUCAACUCCCCAGGGAGAGUCCAGCAUCUCCAAACCUGCAUCCCACCCCUCCUCAAAUGAAUCAUGGCUCCUGAGUGAAGCCUGCAGCCCAGGGCAUGCCCUUGGCACUCUCAUGCUUAAAACUCCUCCCUGGUAUACCCCCCAACCCCAUUCAGACCUCCCUCAUCCUUUAUGUUCCUGCCAGCUAGAUGGCUCCUCUUUGCCCCAACAGGGCUGUGCUGGGCUCCUCCUCUGGUCUCUAUGCAUACCCCAAUAUUUCACUAUUAUUUCCUAUCUCCUUCCCCUGAUCUGCACGCUCCCAGAGGGCCAACUCCAAGGCAGACCCAUUGUCACAUGAUCACAGCUUAGCACACUAAUUGUAGGGGCAAGAAGUCCAUGAUAAGAAUUGCAAUUAAAUCACAGAUAUGACAGCACUGCGUUGGACAAGCACAACUGAAACUUUUCUUACCAGUUUUCUAGUCAUCCUUUGCCUGAGAUCCUGAUCCCACCCAAAUCUGGGCCCAUAAAGCCCUAAUGUUUGUUUAGCCCAAAGGGCCAUGUCAUUUC
ensembl:lincRNA Gm29926 predicted gene, 29926